GCCGGGCACAGUGGUGCACGCCUGUAUUCCAACAGCUUGGGAGGCUGAGGCAGGAGGAUCAUGAGUUCAAAGCCAGCCUCCACAACUUAGUGAGACCCCUAAGCAACUUAGCAUGACCCUGUCUCUA
rnacentral:sRNA from 1 species